UUGAAUAUAAAGAAAAGACGAACAGCUCAGUAACUCUUAUUUUAUUUGAUGUAUUAGGAUUCUAACUAUGUUAAAUUAUAGAUAACAAUAAUACAAUAAGAAUAAGAUCUAUCAGUUAGUUGUUAAGGUAAUGGCUUAACAAGACUAUGACGGAUAACGGUAUUACUUUGUAAUAUUCCGGAGAAGGAGCCUGAGAGAUUGCUACUAAGUCUAAGGAUUGCAGCAGGGGCGAAACUUGACCUAUGAUAUGAUAUUGAGGCAGUUAUGAGUAGUAUUUUUAAUUAUUGUAGUAUUGUAAGUAUAUACUACAAGAUAAAUCGGAGGGCAAAUCGAGUGCCAGCAGCCGCG
rnacentral:rRNA from 1 species